GACGAACGCUGGCGGCGUGCCUAACACAUGCAAGUCGAGCGGGGAUUUAAGUGGAAGUUCUUCGGAAUGGAGAUUUAAAUUCUAGCGGCGGACGGGUGAGUAACGCGUGAACAAUCUGUCCCGGACAGGGGGAUAACACUUGGAAACAGGUGCUAAUACCGCAUAAGACCACGGCCUCGCAUGGGGCUGAGGUAAAAGGAGCAAUCCGGUUCGGGGUGAGUUCGCGUCCGAUUAGCUAGUUGGUGAGGUAACGGCCCACCAAGGCGACGAUCGGUAGCCGGCCUGAGAGGGUGAACGGCCACAUUGGAACUGAGAGACGGUCCAAACCCCUACGGGAGGCAGCAGUGGGGAAUAUUGGGCAAUGGGCGAAAGCCUGACCCAGCAACGCCGCGUGAGGGAAGAAGGUUUUCGGAUUGUAAACCUCUGUCCUAUGGGACGAAGGAAGUGACGGUACCAUAGGAGGAAGCCCCGGCUAACUACGUG
rnacentral:rRNA from 1 species